AUGCGAUAUAUCACGGUAAUGAAUAUGCAUGAUAUUGUUAUUGUGGGCACUUCUAAAUACCGUGAAUAAUUAUAUAUUACAAAUUAUUCCGAAUUUUGAAUGCAUUUUAAGAAUACUUUUCCCAUCAACUGGUCAAAAUGCACAACACCACUAUAUGUUGCGUGAAAGACUGUAUUAUGACAGCACUUUUUUAAAACUAAAUUUCAAUAUUGUGAUAAUACCGUAUACCGUGAUAAAAGCAUUAGCAAUUAAUCGUAACAUGAAAAUUUGAUACCGGCAUAUCCCUAAUGCUGGUGUAUAUAUUGUCAAAUGUUUCCUCCCCACAAAUUCUUUAGGGUCACUUCAUCAGUGAAAUUUAGCCUGGUAACUAUGGUCUGGAAAUCGCCUUUUCUUAGUCUGAGUUAAAUUAAAGCUUUAGUUGGAUGCUUUUCAGGAAGUAGUUCAAAGAGCAUAGGGCCAAUAGUUGAAUGGUUUAUCAAUGUGGAUAUUGUUCAGAGUUAUAAGCAUAAUGGCAAUUUACGUUUGCUUCUAUUUUGAGGUAUAUUAAAGGGUAUUAAAGUAUUUGUGCAAUUUAAAACACUGUAAAACUGAUCCACCCUUUUCUCCAUUGCCAUUGAAGAGUUUGAUUAUUCCAACAGGAUUUUUGGUGAAAAUCUAUGUGUCUAAUGGCAAAUUAACUUAAUGUGUCUUGGUGUUUUAGGGUCUGGGUGCUGUAUGAUGGAGAAUGCCCAAUAUGUUUUAAAGAAAUUAGGUUUCUUCAGAGAAACUGAGCAGAUAAAGUAGAUUUUGUGGACAUCUCACUGCCAGAAUAUGAUGGGAGCAAAUAUGGAGGAGUCAGUUAUGAGAUGGCAAUGGAGGAAAUGACUGUGAUUGAUGAGAAGAACAAGAUUCAUCGUGGAGUUCCAGCUUUCACAGUGAUGUACAGUGCGGUGGGUUUGGCUUGGCUUGGCACGUUCAUCUCUCUCCCACUGUUCAGGCCUGUAAUGGAGCGAGCGUAUGGGGUGUUUGCAAGAAACAGACUGAAGUGGACCUGCAGAGAGGGCUGCACCACUGGACACUGUGCUAAAAAAAUAGUCAUAAGGGAUAGAGAGCUUUAAAACAGACUUUCCAGGUCAAUGGAUGUAUUGGAAGUAACAACUGUUAUUGUUAUUUGUUAAGUUUAUUGCAUUUAAUAUUUAAGAGUCUGAAUAUAACGGUAAUGUCAAUAUGUGAACAGAAUAAAUGAUCUUUUAUUAAGAUCUCCAACUUAAAAAAAAACACGCACUGUGAUAUAUGUAUAUACAAUAAAUUACUCGUACUGUGAGGGAAAUGAUGCCAGAGUGUUGACACUUUGAACAGUUCUGAGGGAACGUUUUCUAAAUUUAGAAGCCUCCUGACUGGACAUCAACUGUUAAGAUGCAGAAGGACAGCUUGUCCUUUAAUGAGAAAUAGUCAGGGGUUUGGUCAGUAGUCCCUUUAAACCAACCAAUAGGAUUUUAACUUCAGAGUAGGGUGGGAUUAAAAACCACAACAGAAACAAGUGUAAACACCACAGGACGUAAUCCAAGAGAAAACAAGCAAUAUAAGUGUUUUGGAAGGAAAGUCAGCAUUUAUUUAUCACCUUGAAGUCAAGUUCAGGAGAUAAAGAGAGAGCGACAGGUAAGACAAAAUAACUAGUUUAUUUGAAAUCUACAAGUGACCCUCAAGGUUAAGUGUGCUUUGUUGAAUUGGACUUAACUUGACCUUCUGUUUUAGUGAAGAAUAAAUUAUGAUAUUUUUUAUGUUACGAGUUGUAAUCAUUACUUAAGCUACACACUGUAAACAGUCACACUCUUUAUCUUACAGAAUUACAACCAAUAGAUAGUGUGAGUGUGUGUGUGUAUAUCUCUGAUUUGUUUGUUUUAUUAAGGCC
rnacentral:lncRNA from 1 species